rnacentral:RNase_P_RNA from 1 species
CUACAAACCCGAACUAUCGUUCCGUUAUAAACGGGAAGGAAAGUCCGGACAGCACAGAGCAACCUACCGGGUAACUCCCGGAUUCAAAUUUAUUUUUGAAAAGAAAGUGCCACAGAAAAUAACUACUCUUUUAAAAAAGAGCAAAGGUGAAAAUGUGAGGUAAGAGCUCACAGUUACAGCAAGUAAUUGUUGCAACGGGUAAACCUUAGGUGCUGUAAUGCCACAUAUAGAAGCCUUUGAGAACUGCUCGUUCAAUUUCUGAAAAGAAAAGGUUUCAGGGUAGGCAGCAAGAUUGUAACAGUAAUGUUACAACCAGAUAAAUGAUAGUGUAAAAACAGAAUCCGGCUUAUGAGGUUUGUAGCUUU